UUAAAAUCCAUUUACUUUUUAUAGACAGCUAUAGUGUAAUAUAUUUCUAUCGCACAUUCUUAAACAAAUCUAUAGAAAUCAAACAAAUACUUGAGUUAACUUGUCUACAGGGUCUACUACAGGAAGUUAGCUUUGUAUCUUAAGACCCAGACUGAGGAUUCCCAGGAUGGCUGCCUCCGAGCCCGGACUUCCCCCUGUGAUCCUUGGCAUCUCCAGGAACUACUUAUCCUGCUUGGGAGAGGGAGCCCAAGCCUCGUGCUGUGCUGUGUGGUUAUUGAGAUACCACGUAGCAGUGUUUUCUGUUCUGUGUGGAUUAUUUGUUUUCAUUGCAAGCCUCUGCUUACCAUAGCUGGUAACAGAGGCAGUUUUCUUGGUUCGCUGCAAUUGUGUGGAAACCCACUGCUUGGGACUUUGUACUUUUGGGUGUGCUGUAAAUAAAAUCCAACCCUCAACUACGUGCUUCCUGUCUCCAUCACUUCUGGGUCACAUCACUUCCUCCCAUAACCCACCACAGUACUCUUUAAUGCUCACUGUAAGAGGAACACUAACACUGAACUGUAUAGCCAAGCUUACUCUGUAGAUGCUCACUAUUUCACUUUUCUCAUUGUUGUGACUAGUGUCACCCAAACAAGUGGUUCCUUAAUAAACCAUGGGGUGAAUGCUUUGUGAAUAUGGCUUCUAAAGACCUGUACAUUUCUAAAGUACCUGCAUAUAUAUAUAACUUAUUUUUCCUAGGAUGUGAAGAAGCUUUUCAAACAGAUCCAGAGGUGCUAUGCUGAAAACCUCUGGGCUCUACACCCUGUCCAGGACAUCCUUGUGAAGCCGGAGCGCUACACCGAGGUCCUGAAGAAAGACAAGCAUAUAUAUUUGACCGAAGGCAUAUGUUGUAGGAGGCCCCGUUGAUCACAAUCACCACAAGGUAUUGCACUGAUGCACCGUGGGUCAUAAACAGCAAUUUGAACACUUUACUGCAGUCUUCUUGCUUUCAGAUGGCUGACAGCUUUAUUAUAGUUAACAGCUUUACUGCAGUCACAGUUAUCAUUGAGUUCCAGGGGAAUCAAAACUGCAGACCUAGAAUCGAGACCAGGCAACCCCAUAGAGUUGGCCAUUUUCUAUAUGAAUAAGUGAAGAAAUUGUGAAUUGAGUAUUUACUUGCUUUAUAUAAGGCACCCCUUUACAAUGCUGUAGUUGGGAGUUGCAGGUAAGAGGCUGUGCAAUUUGUGUUCUGCCUUAUAGCAAGAAAGCAAGUGCAACUGUAAUGACAUGCAGUAAAUGGAAGCCAUGAUCUAACUGCCUUAUAAAGAGGGAGCACUAUGAUAGGGUAGGAAAUAACAUUUUAGUUCAGAUGUAAUUACACUGGAUCCCAAUCAUGACAAAACCUAUAUAUUUGGAAUCCAGAUUCAAUGGCAUGCAGGUCAUCAAGCCUGCAGUAGGUGUUACACAUGAGGUAUGAAUGUCAGAACUGCAUUGCGUGGUACACACUGAGCUCAUGAGUACAUUUUGGUAGAGGUAUGAAACGAUCCAGCGUUGUGAAUGGAAAUUCCGGGAUUAUUGUGCUUAUGAAUUAAUAAUGUUCUACAGUGCAGCUGGGCUCAUGUGCUAAUAAAAAUAUCUUUUUACAACCCUCUCUCUAGGGACUGUGGCUUGAGGAGAUCAGAUGAGUAAUUGUAUGACUGUGUGUGAAUGUGAGACCUCGGAUAAAUUAGAGUCUUUUUUUCCUAAAUUACCAGUGAAUUUAAUUUUAACCAUUAGAAACUAGAUUAAAUUUGACACCAAGGGUUAUAUAAAAGGACACUUGUGAGAUAGGAUUUCAUCAUAACACAUAUAGUGAAAUGUGUAACCUGUAUAUAUAAAAGGUUUGUUUGAUCUUGAAAUACGCAGCUGUACACUAGAUGGCGCUUGGUCAUAGUUCUAUAAUGACACUAAUCUAUACUUGGUUACAAAUGUCUAAGGCAGGCCACUAGAACCAAAGAGCAGCUCCUGACUUCACUGAGCGCACCUUAACACAAUAAGGAAUAUUUUAGUAAUUGUUUGAAAUAAAAGUAUGCAGACUGAUUGCAAACGUCAGAAAAAAUUGUAAUUUGAAGCUGCUUGCUUUUUGUGUGUUAUGUGUUAUUUUCCAUAAGUUACACCAAAACAAGUUACAUUUGAUAUAGGGGUAGAGUCCUGAUUUAUUGAGCAAAA